UACGAAGGGGGGCUAGCGUUGCUCGGAAUCACUGGGCGUAAAGGGUGCGUAGGCGGGUCUUUAAGUCAGGGGUGAAAUCCCGGGGCUCAACCCCGGAACUGCCUUUGAUACUGCAAAUCUCGAGUCCGGAAGAGGUGAGUGGAAUUCCUAGUGUAGAGGUGAAAUUCGUAGAUAUUAGGAAGAACACCAGUGGCGAAGGCGGCUCACUGGUCCGGUACUGACGCUGAGGUGCGAAAGCGUGGGGAGCAAACAGG
rnacentral:rRNA from 1 species